rnacentral:rRNA from 1 species
AGCGAACGCUGGCGGCAGGCUUAACACAUGCAAGUCGAGCGGGCAUCCUUGUGGUGUCAGCGGCAGACGGGUGAGUAACGCGUGGGAACGUGCCCUUCGGUUCGGAAUAACUCAGGGAAACUUGAGCUAAUACCGGAUACGUGCGAGAGCAGAAAGGUUUAUCUGCCGAAGGAUCGGCCCGCGUCUGAUUAGCUAGUUGGUGAGGUUACGGCUCACCAAGGCGACGAUCAGUAGCUGGUCUGAGAGGAUGAUCAGCCACACUGGGACUGAGACACGGCCCCGACUCCAACGGGGGGCAACAGUGGGGAAUUUUGGACAGUGGGGGCAACCCUGAUCCACCCAUGCCGGGUAGGUGAUGGCGGCCUUAGGGUUGUAAAGCUCUUUUCCCCGGGACGAUAAUGACGGUACCGGGGGAAAAAGCCCCGGCUAACUUCGU